rnacentral:misc_RNA from 1 species
GGGCCGGGAAGUUCUGGUGCGGAUCGAGCGCUGCGGCCUGUGCCAUUCGGACCUGCACAUUCAGGACGGCUAUGCUGAUCUUGGCAAUGGCAAGAAGCUCGACACCACCCGCGGCAUGACCCUGCCCUUCANNNNNNNNGUCACGAGAUCGCCGGCGUCGUCGAUGAAGUCGGCCCUGAUGGAGACAAGUCGCUCAUCGG